rnacentral:rRNA from 1 species
GAUGAACGCUGGCGGCGUGCCUAACACAUGCAAGUCGAGCGUGAUUUAUGAGGACGAAACUUCGGUCUAGGAAUCAUAAUGAAAGCGGCGGACGGGUGAGUAAGGCGUAGGCAACCUGCCCUUAACACAGGGAUAGCCUCGGGAAACCGGGAUUAAAACCUGAUGACGCCAAGGAGUCACCUGGCUUCUUGGCCCAAGAUUUAUCGGUUAAGGAUGGGCCUGCGUCUGAUUAGUUUGUUGGUGGGGUAAGGGCUUGACAAGAAGACGAGAAGUAGCCGACCUGAGAGGGUGAUCGGCCACAUUGGAACUGAGACACGGUCCAAACUCCUACGGGAGGCAGCAGUGGGGAAUAUUGCACAAUGGGCGAAAGCCUGAUGCAGCAACGCCGCGUGAGCGAUGAAGGCCUUUGGGUCGUAAAGCUCUGUCCUUGUGGAAGAAAAAAAUGACGGUACCCAAGGAGGAAGCCCCGGCUAACUACGUGCCAGCAGCCGCCGUAACAC